UGCGUAGGCGGCUAUUUAAGUCAGUGGUGAAAGACUCCGGCUCAACCGGAGCAGUGCCAUUGAUACUGGAUAGCUUGAGUGUUGGAGGGGUACAUGGAAUUGAUGGUGUAGCGGUGAAAUGCAUAGAUACCAUCAGGAACACCGAUAGCGAAGGCAUUGUACUGGCCAACAACUGACGCUGAGGCACGAAAGCAUGGGGAGCGAACAGGAUUAGAUACCCUGGUAGUCC
rnacentral:rRNA from 1 species